rnacentral:rRNA from 1 species
AUUGAACGCUGGCGGCAUGCCUUACACAUGCAAGUCGAACGGCAGCACGGGGCAACCUGGUGGCGAGUGGCGAACGGGUGAGUAAUGCAUCGGAACGUACCUUUCAGUGGGGGAUAACGUAGCGAAAGUUACGCUAAUACCGCAUAUUCUGUGAGCAGGAAAGCAGGGGAUCGCAAGACCUUGCGCCGAUUGAGCGGCCGAUGUCAGAUUAGCUAGUUGGUGAGGUAAAGGCUCACCAAGGCGACGAUCUGUAGCGGGUCUGAGAGGAUGAUCCGCCACACUGGAACUGAGACACGGUCCAGACUCCUACGGGAGGCAGCAGUGGGGAAUUUUGGACAAUGGGGGCAACCCUGAUCCAGCCAUGCCGCGUGAGUGAAGAAGGCCUUCGGGUUGUAAAGCUCUUUCGGCCGGGAAAAAAUCGCAUGGGUUAAUACCCUGUGUGGAUGAUGGUACCGGAAUAAGAAGCACCGGCUAACUACGUGCCAGCCGCCGCGGUAAAAC